ACUAUAGUUGGUUUACAGUGUUCUGUCAAUUUUCUACUGUACAGCAAAGUGACCCAGUCAGUCAUACAUAUAUACAUUCUUUUUCUCACAUUACCCUCCAUCAUGCUCCAUCACAAGUGACUAGAUAUAGUUCCCAGUGCCAUACAGCAGGAUUUCAUUGCUUAUUACUAGUCGGGUUCUUAACCUGCUGAGACACAACGGGAACUCCAACACCUGAAUCUUGAAUUCAUUUUGGAUUUUAACUAUAGAUAAGAAUGUUCUGCAUGGUCCUCAGGGGCUAGUUUUGGCACCAGAGUCACAGAGAAGGCAGCACACUGUAGCCCAAGGGUUUCUUAUUUCAAAUGUUUCUGGCUACAAGGUAAGAGCAAGUAAGAUGCUGUAGCUCUGUGACUGGCUCAUAGUCAUCAACUUGUUUGCAAUCCAAACAUUAGCACAGGUGAUUUUUAAGGCAUGAAAUGAGGAAAUGAAAGGGGCAUUUUAGGCAAAAAUAAUACAGCAUUAAGUGGACUAAGUUAGCAAGAUGAUCAAGACACUGUAUGCCUUAGCCUUUAUAUCGGAUCAAAUGUGAUAAUGCAAGCAAAGUUCCCUACACAGUUCCUGGUACCCUGCAAAUGUUAGUUCUUUUCCUUCUGCGUCUAAAUUAAAGUGCUUCUGGAGUUUCCUGCUGGCUCAGUGGAUUAAAGAUCCGGUGUUGCUGUAGAAGCUCUGUUUGCCGCUGUGACAAGGGUUUGAUCCCUUCCCUGGGAACAUCCACAUGUCAUGGGCAUGGCUGGAAAAAUAGAAAAAAUUGUUUUGCAUACAUUAAAUCCCCCUUAAAACCUUCUGAAUUAGGUAUUUCCCCCAAGGAAUAAUGACUUGACCCCCAAAGUAGCACAUCUGAAAAACUACAGGGCUGAGAUCAGACUCAGGUCUUCAGACACCAAAGCCAGUUCUCUGUCUCCUACGCUUAUCACACUGUCUUAGAUUUAAGAUUGUGUCUUGGACUGUAGUGUUAACAAUGGGACAGAGAUCAAAGAAUGACUGCUUUCAGUGUUGUUGCUAUAGUUUGCUCAUCUGCAAACUUGGUUGUUAUUCCCAAUGGCAUGACUGGACAACCUAAACCCACGGACAUUUCAGUCAAAAGCAAACAGAAAAAAAAAACACCAUUUAACCACCAUUUAUGCAAGAAAUAUGAAUCCUAGUUGUUGCCUGAAAACCUCCCAUUGACACUUUCUAGUAAGAUCAGAAAGAACAGCAUCAAAACUUUCAGAAUGGAUGUCAGAAGCUUGAAAGAAAAUCUCAGAGAAAAAUGGUGGAGCCGCACUUGGAGAACAUUCUUCGCCAGUGCUCUUGAUGGCACAGAGGGUGACACCAGAUUGAAAAAUACAGACAUCAAUGACUCAGAGCUGAAAAGUGAUUCAGAAGACAGACUCAAUAUAAAACCAUUUUAGCCUAAUAUAACUGAAUUUCCGCUCCCUCCCCUUUAUUUUCAGCUACCCUGGGGACAUGUGAAAGUUCCUAGCCUAGGGAUCAAAUCUGAGCCGGAGUUGUGACCUACACCACAGCUGCAGCAACGCCAGAUCCUUAAUUCACUGCGCUGGACCGAGGCUCCAACUGACACCUCCACAGACACAAGCUGGACCAUUAACCCACUGCGCCACAGCGAGAACUCCAUUUCCCCUUUAUUAACGCACAAGUGUGAUAUACAGUAAAAAUCAGUGUUCAAAUCAACCUAAAUAAGCCCUUUAAUAUGGGCUGAGUGAAAAGAAAGCAUUGUACCAUAAAUUAACUCAUAGCAUUAUUUUCUUUCUUGGUAAUACAUGAAGUUAUGGUGUGCCCUACAAUUGGCAGUGUCUUAUAUUUCAUGAGAAUGGUCACAUAGUAAACGCUUCAUUGUUUAUAGAGUUAACGCAUUUUGGUCACCAUAACCUUCUGACAUUAGGAGCAAAAUAUUACCAUCAAGUUUUAACUGUAGAAAAAAAAGGUAGAUUAAAUAACCUACUCGGCCAGCCAUAAAAUAGGGAUAAAGACUUAUCCAAAUUCAGUCCUCUAGAAUAAGCCUAAAAUCAUUUUUUUGCUCCAAAAUUUCAAGGCUUGGAGUUCCUUUGUGGCACAGCCAGGUUAAGGAUCUGGCGUUGUCACUGCUGCAACCCAGGUGGCUGCUGUGGCAAGGGUUCAAUCCCUGGCC
ensembl:lncRNA